rnacentral:rRNA from 1 species
UCGUAGGCGGCCUGUUGCGUCCGCUGUGAAAGCCCGGGGCUUAACCCCGGGUCUGCAGUGGAUACGGGCAGGCUAGAGGUAGGUAGGGGAGAAUGGAAUUCCCGGUGUAGCGGUGAAAUGCGCAGAUAUCGGGAGGAACACCGGUGGCGAAGGCGGUUCUCUGGGCCUUACCUGACGCUGAAGAGCGAAAGCGUGGGGAGCGAACAGGAUUAGAUACCCUGGUAGUCCACGCCGUAAACGUUGGGCGCUAGGUGUGGGAUCCUUCCACGGAUUCCGUGCCGCAGCUAACGCAUUAAGCACCCCGCCUGGGGAGUACGGCCGCAAGGCUAAAACUCAAAGGAAUUGGCGGGGGAGCACA